rnacentral:lncRNA from 1 species
CGGAGGACAGUCAGUUGCUAGCAAAUCGAUUCGUUGUUCAUCACUCCAACAUUCAUAUUCAUCAUGGACUUCUUCACUUCUUCUUCACUUCUUCACACCUUCUGUCUUUGGGUUUCAGAAAUAAGACUUGAUUAUUCACUACGAAUUCUUCCACAAAAAUUCUGGAAAAGGUAAUUGCGUAAUACGCCAUUUUUAUGUCAUUUUCAGAUGAUUCUAACACAGUGCCAAACUGGUCUCUUGUUAAAUUUUGAAUUUGAAGCAGCG